GAGGAGAGCCCUGAGGCACACAAGGCUGGGGCCCAGUACAAGCCUGAGACAGACCCAACAACCAAAACAAGCAGAAAGUGAGAUCCUGAGUCCUUGGAGUCCUCCAGAGCCUGCAAAGGGUAACCCACUCUCUCCUGCUGCUAUCUACUAACAGGUACCUCGACAUCCUGAACACUGGAUAAAGAAGUUGAUUAAAUCCAGAAGUGCUAUAUCCCUGUCUUGUUUAUAUGAUUCAAUCCAGUCGUCCACCACAGACUGUCAAGAAAAAGA